UACGGGGGGGGGCAAGCGUUGUUCGGAAUUACUGGGCGUAAAGGGCUCGUAGGUGGCCAACUAAGUCAGACGUGAAAUCCCUCAGCUUAACUGGGGAACUGCGUCUGAUACUGGAUGGCUUGGAUUCGGGAGAGGAAUGCGGAAUUCCAGGUGUAGCGGUGAAAUGCGUAGAUAUCUGGAGGAACACCGGUGGCGAAGGCGGCAUUCUGGACCGACAUUGACGCUGAGGCGCGAAAAGCUAGGGUAGCAAACGGG
rnacentral:rRNA from 1 species